AAUAUAAAAGACUAAAAAAAGAGCGACCUGAUGUUACAGACUGUAAUCAAAGAACAUUAAGGUUCUGAUCACCGCCCAUUCAUAAUGCAACAGAUGCAUUUGUGAUGGAUUUCUGCAUCUGCAUUUUAAACUCCAAUAGCUGCGGCUGCUGCUGUUAUUUUUAGAGCAUCUGCAGUUCUAACGGAUAGCCUGCACAGCUUUAGCAGAUUUCGAGUAGCCUAGGCUAACUUUUCUGCUCAUUCAUCAUUUAGGCUACAGUCAUAUUCAUAUGUAGCUCUGUGUUUGUGCGCUGUGCUGUCUCCUUUUUUUGACGGCGUCCCGCGGUUUGCUGGCAGGCUGCAGCAGGGAUGGUAGCAGGCGGUCCUCUGUGUGAGGGGGACAUUGAGGAGGCUGACGGAGUCCUGCAGGUCUUCUGUCCCUGGCAUGAUUAUAACUUUGAUCUCAGGACUGGGAAGUCAGGGACAUCACUACAGCAACAAGUGUAUGAAGUCAAGCUGGAGGAUGGAAAUGUUUAUGUGAAGCACAGAAGUCAUCUGUCCUUACAGCCUUUUCCUCCAGAUCGGAAAAGCUGAUCUACCUCAGAGCAGAAAAGAAAGGCUUGACCUGGAUAUCCACUGGCUGUACUGCAAGUCCUGAAAAAACGGUUAUUGCGCCAAGAUGCUAAGUCAGCAGACUGACAGUUUGGUUUUCGAAUCACAGAGGCAAUAGGAGUAUCCAAAAUGUAGCACUAUGAGUUUUUAAUUCAAUUAAAAUUGAUAAAAUAAAGAGUAAAAAUGAGUAAAAACUGAACACCAUCGUCUUGAUUUCUUGAAAAGAAUCAUCAUAUUUUGCAUGUUAGCGUUUUCGAAUAACCAGUACAGGUCUCCUUUAGUAAAGCCCACAUUUUGCAUCUAAGUGUCAUUUUAUUUCAUGGUUUACUAUAUUUCCUAUUAUUCCAGACUUGAGAGGCAGACUUGUUUAGUUGUGCCCUUGAAGCGAUGUCACAUAGGAAGAAACUCUCUUCCAGGAUUUAUUUGCAAAAUUUUUUUUUAACCCAAUUAGAGUUUAAGCAAAUAGAAAACACAUCAAGGACACUGUGGUUACAGUUGGUGGCAAUUCCACAGCUAACAUGUUUCCAUCAGCAUUUCUCUUCAUUCCUGUCUUCUGCACAGACAGGUUUGUCUGUUACUGACGCAGUGGGAUUUACGAGGAACGGUUAGUAAGGCGCCGGAGGAAGGUUCACGACCUGAAAUGCACCACUGACUUAAGAAAAAUGUGUUUUCCUAGCUGUGCGUGUGUGAGUGUGAGCAGUGAUGCCAGUGUGUUUUUUUUUUUCUUCGUGGUGAGAGCAGUCACUCACUAUAUUUUCUGUCAGCUUCGUUUUCUGGCAGACGCACAGAACCCCGUCACGAAGGUGUCAAUGACAGUGUGGCUCAACACUCCAGUUUUCCUCCCUACUGUGCUCCCUGUUGUGCAACUUUAUUACAAUAAUAAUUCCACUGGUUAAAAAUGUUAUGUGCACCAGACGUCUCGCUGUGUUGUCUUACAUUUCAUCACCUGAAGGGUAAUGUGCAAACAAAGUGGAGAUACGGCUAUUUUGUGUCAGUAGAAAAGUCAAAGUAACGGUUUGAGAUUCCGCAGGAAUGUUUUGAGACGCUUGAGGCACAUUGGGAAAAUUGGGAUUCUCAUCAGAAUGUUGUUAUGUUUCCUAAAAUGUAUUUUAUAUUCUUUUGUAUUUCUAGUGUAUGUCUCUGGGACUGCAUACACCAAUGCAUUUAAAUUCAUCCCUCUGUUGUAAGUUAGUAUCAUCAGUAUCAUGUUUGUUGUAAACUUUGUUUAUUGUUGUAAGAUGGAAAAAGUAAAACUAGAUCUAUGCAUUUUAUUUAUUAAAAAUAUAUAUGCAUGUUAAAUAAACUUUUUCCAAUUUUUAGACUGUUCAUUUGUUAAACUUAUGCACAGUUCAGAGGACAACAUCAAACAAAAUGUUUACACAAAAUCAUUUAUUUACACUUGUUCGUUCGUACAUUUAUACCAAAUUUAAUACAAUACACAAUUUACACAUAAAGACCUAAUUCAGAGAGAAACAAAGCAUUCAGCAUCUCCAUGCAAUAGUUAGCAUUACAGACUAUUAUCAAGAGCUGAUUUAUGUAAUUCUUUUACUACUCAGGAUUGCUUCCUGGGGUGCAGUGGCAAGUAUGCAACUCUCUCCAUGUCCUCCAGAAAGCGGUGGAACGGUGUAAGGUUGACCGUCUUGUGAAUAAAUUAUGAUCUCCCUGAGACCCUGCUGGACUAUACAGAAGAGAAAAUGGAUAUGUCUGUUUACGCUUAAGUUUCUGAUAAAUUGUGGAUGGUUUCUGGUGGAUUCAGAGACUUGUGCUUUUCUGCAGAAACAUUUCAGUGACAGAGGCAAACUCAGGUCAAGUAUUUUGAAUAGAAAUCCACUCCUUAGAUUCUUUUUUUUUUUUUUUUUUUCGAAUAUCAGUUGCCACAAAAAACCUCAAAUUUUGCCAGAUGGAUUGAAAUACACUUGAAAAUAUCCAAUUUUCUACCAUUCAAGAAUUCUGCAAAGCUGUAACUAUACCAAUAGUAUGCUUUAGACAUUAGUUCCCUGUUUUGGGAAAAACGCUCAUUCUCCUCCUUGCCAGAGUUUGGAGAUGAGAAUAGUGAUGAUACCCUUACAUCAGUGGGUUCAUUAAAAAAAUACAGCCAGUACCCAGCUAACUCCAAAUGUCAAACAAUUUAUUUAGAAGUUUAAAACACAAAUACAUAAAUCAUAUUCAUGAUUCUGACACUAAAUAAAGUAAAAGGUUUGCCACUACUACUGCCAACGAGUCCAGAUAAACAGUUUCUUUUAAUUAAAAAAGGAAUAUUUUCAUCUUCUUUUAUCUGUUGGUUUCAGGCUCAAACUGUCUUUAUUUGAUUUUAAAGUAUCUGGAAACUUUUUCUUGAGCGAUUAAACCAAACAUUGCAGAGGUUCUUUAAUCUCCUUUGAAGUUCCCUAAAGACAAAGUGGCUGUUUGGAGAGCACAGCUUAUUUUUCCAUGCAAAGCCUUACAUAAUGGUUUACUCAGGCUAUUAUUGUUACCUUGUCCUUCAAGCUCUCCUGAUAACUUCUUCUCAUGAAUAAGCCAAUUCUCCUGUCAAAGCAUUCCCUGAAGAAAAUCUGCAUUCUUCCAUGUGCAACCACUUUCAAAGCUCAAGAUUCUGUAAGUGAUGGGCUAUGAGGCCAAAGACCACUAAUAUUUUCCCUUCCCUUUUUUCUUUUUCAAACCGUACCCUGAAAUGAUUAAACCCAUCACUAGAUAAUCUUGCUUCUCUUCCUUCUGAUGUCUUUGGUCUAACAUUUCCUUUAGUUGCUCUACAUCUGUUUGGCCCCUUCAACUGACCUCACAAACUAUUGCAUUUUAUAGGACUUAUCUCUUCCUACACCUGGAUUCAAUCAUCAUCUUUCUUACGGGGUGGAAGCUGUAUCUGCUGCUGGGACAUGUUUGUUUCCAACUGGACAUCUGAACUGUUCGUUCACACACAGCCCACAGGCCUGUGAUUAGAGAGGUCAAUGAUAAUUCUGAAGUUUGCACAGGCUCCCAAGUUAUAGAUCUAUGUUUGGAGUGCUGUUAUGUGCUCCACAUAGAAAGAUUUACAAGUUUGAAAUGAUACCAUUUACAGCAUAUUAAAUGAUAAAUCUGUUGCACAUCAGAACUAAAAAUAUAACAGCACAAAUGAACUGAGAAAAAAAAGACUUCUUCAAAUGUUAAAUGUGCAGAGAGCUCGGUAGCAAUUUCAAAGGAAAUAUGUGUCCAUAAUACUCUUGUGCCCAAUUUAUUGCUGAUUGCUUAAGUUCAAUUUGGUUGUUUGUGAAAGUCAAACUGUUUUUACAGUUCUCAAGAGAAUAUGUAAUUUAUUUUCUAAUUAGCAGCAGGCUUAUAUUUACUUGUCAGCCUCUUCUGGUUUCUCCAAGGUCCAUAGUGCACCUUAUUCAUUUUGGGAUUAGUUCAGCUCGAAGGGUUUCUCCCAUGGGUCUGCAAAACCCCAUACUGCAGAUAAACAAUAGAUUUAAUCACUGAGUAAACUCCAUGCCUAUUACUUAGUUCAGUUAAAGUAGCCAAAAACUCAAUUCAUGUGUCUAUUUCCAUAUCCAUAUGGCGUUAUAGUCUACAUUUAUUUGUAUUGCUACUCGUACUUUUACACAGCUUAAUAAAAACCUGACUUGUAAACACAAGUUGUGUUUCUUCUGAAUUCUCAUGCUUAAGAAAUCAUGUUUUGUUAAUUAAGAAAUGACAAUGGAGUUUUUUGUCCUACUAACAAGAUUGCAAACUGAAGCCAAAAAGAUUAUUGUAAAGUCAGCAGAUUCAUGCUACAAAGAAUGGAAAAAAAAAAAAAAACAGUGACUCAGAGAGUCAAAGAGUUGCACAACACAAC